rnacentral:rRNA from 1 species
AGGACGAACGCUGGCGGCGUGCUUCACACAUGCAAGUCGAACGGGGUAGCAAUACCUAGUGGCGGACGGGUGAGUAACGCGUGGGAAUCUGCCUUGAAGUGGGGGAUAGCAAGCCGAAAGGCUUAUUAAUACCGCAUAUGAUUACAUCAAGACAUUUUUGUAAUUGAAAGGAGUAAUCCGUUUCAAGAUGAGCCCGCGUCCGAUUAGCUAGUUGGUAAGGUAACGGCUUACCAAGGCGACGAUCGGUAGGUGGUCUGAGAGGAUGAUCACCCACAAUGGGACUGAGACACGGCCCAUACUCCUACGGGAGGCAGCAGUGGGGAAUUUUGUGCAAUGGGCGAAAGCCUGACACAGCGACACCGCGUGAACGAAGAAGCUCUUUGGAGUGUAAAGUUCUGUCGGCUGGAACGAAACAAUGACGGUACCAGCAAAGGAAGCAUCGGCUAACUACGUGCCAGCAGCCGC